GAUGAACGCUGGCGGCGUGCUUAACACAUGCAAGUCGAGCGAGUGAGUUCUUCGGAACGAUCUAGCGGCGGACGGGUGAGUAACACGUGGGCAACCUGCAUCAUAGAGGGGAAUAGCCUCCCGAAAGGGAGAUUAAUACCGCAUAAAAUUAUCGAGUGGCAUCACAUGAUAAUCAAAGGAGUAAUCCGCUAUGAGAUGGACCCGCGGUGCAUUAGCUAGUUGGUGAGGUAACGGCUCACCAAGGCGACGAUGCGUAGCCGACCUGAGAGGGUGAUCGGCCACAUUGGGACUGAGACACGGCCCAGACUCCUACGGGAGGCAGCAGUGGGGAAUAUUGCACAAUGGGGGAAACCCUGAUGCAGCAACGCCGCGUGAGUGAUGAAGGUCUUCGGAUUGUAAAGCUCUGUCUUUGGGGACGAUAAUGACGGUACCCAAGGAGGAAGCCACGGCUAACUACGUGCCAGCCGCCGCGGUAA
rnacentral:rRNA from 1 species